rnacentral:rRNA from 1 species
GAGUUUGUUCAUGGCUCAGAAUGAACGCUGGCGGCGUGCUUAACACAUGCAAGUCGUACGAGAACUCUUCUGCUUGCAGAAGAUAGUAAAGUGGCGCACGGGUGAGUAACGCGUGGGUAAUCUACCUCCGAAUCGGGGAUAACAUUGCGAAAGCGAUGCUAAUACCGGAUAAUAUCUGGAAAGCUUCGGUUUUCCAGAUCAAAGGUGGCCUCUAUAUAUAAGCUACUGUUUGGAGAUGAGCCCGCGUACCAUUAGCUUGUUGGUAGGGUAACGGCCUACCAAGGCCGCGAUGGUUAGCUGGUCUGAGAGGAUGAUCAGCCACACUGGAACUGACACACGGUCCAGACUUCUACGGGAGGCAGCAGUGAGGAAUAUUGCCCAAUGGGGGAAACCCUGAGGCAGCAACGCCGCGUGAGCGAUGAAGGCUUUCGGGUCGUAAAGCUCUGUCAAGUGGGAAGAACAUGCUUCAUACUAAUACUAUGUUGCACUGACGGUACCACUGAAGGAAGCACCGGCUAACUCCGUGCCAGCAGCCGCGGUAAUACGGGGGGUGCAAGCGUUAUUCGGAAUUAUUGGGCGUAAAGGGCGCGUAGGCGGUCCUUUAAGUCAGAUGUGAAAGCCCGGGGCUCAACCCCGGAAGUGCAUCUGAAACUGAGGGACUUGAGUAUGGGAGAGGGAAGUGGAAUUCCUGGUGUAGAGGUGAAAUUCGUAGAUAUCAGGAGGAACACCGGUGGCGAAGGCGACUUCCUGGACCAAUACUGACGCUGAGGCGCGAAGGCGUGGGGAGCAAACAGGAUUAGAUACCCUGGUAGUCCACGCAGUAAACGUUGAACACUAGGUGUAGCGGGUAUUGACCCCUGCUGUGCCGUAGCUAACGCAUUAAGUGCUCCGCCUGGGGACUACGGUCGCAAGACUAAAACUCAAAGGAAUUGACGG